rnacentral:rRNA from 1 species
UACGUAGGGUGCAAGCGUUGCCCGGAUUUAUUGGGCGUAAAGGGCGCGUAGGCGGCUCGGCACGUCCGUUGUGAAAUCGCCCGGCUCAACUGGGCGGGGUCAGCGGAUACGGUCGAGCUUGAGCAAGCUAGGGGGCAAUGGAAUUCCUGGUGUAGCGGUGAAAUGCGCAGAUAUCGAGGAGGAACACCGGUGGACGAAGGCGGGUCUGCUGGGCCGAUACUGACGCUGAGGAGCGAAAGGCGUGGGGAGCAAACAGG